rnacentral:rRNA from 1 species
UGCGGAAGGUUGCUGCUAUUUGGGUUCGAUUAAGCCAUGCAAGUUUGCUCUUUUUCGGAAGAGCGGCAAACUGCUCAGUAACACGUCAAUAAUCUACCCUUGAAUCAAGGAUAACUUUGGGAAACUGAAGCUAAACCUUGAUAGGAAAAAAUUAUUGGAAGAUAUUUUUUCUGAAACGUAAGGUUCAAGGAUGAGUUGGCGGUUGAUUAGGUAGUUGGUGGGGUAAAGGCCCACCAAGCCGAAGAUCAAUAAGGGCCUUGAGAGAGGUAGCCCUGAGAAGGACACUGAGAUACUGGUCCUAGCCCUACGGGGUGCAGCAGGCGCGAAACCUUUACAAUGCACGAAAGUGUGAUAAGGGAACCCAAAGUGCUUUACUUAUAGUAAGGCUUUUGCCAAGAGUAAAUAUCUUGGAGAAUAAGUGGUGGGAAAGACUGGUGCCAGCAGCCGCGGUAACACCAGCGCCACAAGUGGCAAUCACAAUUAUUGGGCCUAAAGCGUCCGUAGCCUGUUUAAUAGGUCUUUUGUGAAAUUGUUAUGCCUAACAUAACGAAGUGCAAAAGAUACCAUUAGGCUUGGAACCGGAGAGGAGCCAGAGGUAUUCAAAGGGGAGCGGUAAAAUGCUAUAAUCCUUUGAAGACCACCUGUGGCGAAGGCGUCUGGCUAGAACGGCUUCGACGGUGAGGGACGAAAGCCAGGGGAGCAAAUCGGAUUAGAUACCCGAGUAGUCCUGGCCUUAAACGCUGCGAGCAAGGUGUUACAUAUUCUUUGUGAAUAUGUGAUGUCGAAAUGAAGAUGUUAAGCUCGCCGCCUGGGAAGUGUGGUCACAAGACUGAAACUUAAAGGAAUUGGCGGGGGAGCACCACAAGGGGUGCGGCGUGCGGUUUAAUCUAAUUCAACGCAGAGAAUCUCACCAGAAGCGACGGCAGGAUGAAAGUCAGAUUAAAGGUCUUACUUGACGAGCCGAGAGGUAGUGCAUGGCCGUCGUCAGCUCGUGCCGUGAGGUGUCUUGUUAAGUCAAGCAACGAGCGAGACCUGUAUCUACAAUUGCUAACAACUCCUUUUGGAGAUUUGAGCACAUUGUAGGAACUGCCCUCGAAAGAGGGAGGAAGGUGCAGGCUACGGUAGGUCUGUAUGCUCCGAAUCUUCUGGGCUACACGCGCGCAACAAUGGUAAGGACAAUGUGAUGCAACUCCGAAAGGAGAAGCUAAUCCUAAAAACCUUAUCCUAGUUCAGAUUGAGGACUGUAACUCGUCCUCAUAACGAUGGAAUCCCUAGUAAUCAGACGUCAACAUCGUCUGGUGAAUAUGUCCCUGCUCCUUGCACACACCGCCCGUCAAACCAUCCGAGCAGUGUUUAGGUGAGAUUUAACUUACAGUUAAAUCGAAUCUAAACUCAGUGAGGCGGGUUAAGUCGUCACAAGGUA